rnacentral:rRNA from 1 species
AUUGAACGCUGGCGGCAGGCUUAACACAUGCAAGUCGAACGGAGUGGCGGACGGGUGAGUAAUGCUUGGGAAUCUGGCUUAUGGAGGGGGAUAACGACGGGAAACUGUCGCUAAUACCGCGUACCAUAGGAGGAGCCCAAGUGGGAUUAGCUAGUUGGUGGGGUAAAGGCCUACCAAGGCGACGAUCCGUAACUGGUCUGUGAGGAUGAUCAGUCACACUGGAACUGAGACACGGUCCAGACUCCUACGGGAGGCAGCAGUGGGGAAUAUUGGACAAUGGGCGAAAGCCUGAUCCAGCCAUGCCGCGUGUGUGAAGAAGGUCUUCGGAUUGUAAACUUCUUUUGUAGGGGAAUUGUACCCUACGAAUAAGCAUCGGCUAACUCCGUGCCAGCAGCCGCGGUAAUUC